rnacentral:misc_RNA from 1 species
UUAUUUAUUUUUGCUUAUGCCACUCAGAGGAGACACUGGAAGACAAGAGUUUCGGUUCCCCGGCGGGCGCCUGGGUCCGGGUCACGCCACGAGGGCGCGCCGCGGGACGGUCCGCCGAAGCAACAUAGGUAUGUUCACAGGGGUUUGGGAGUUGGAUAACUCAGUAAUGAUCCCUCCGCUGGUUCACCAACGGAGA